GUCGGACGGAGGGGAGGUAGUACUAUAUUCUCAGGAAGGAAUCGUCGUAUGCUCAUGGAACCAUGGCCGCCGGAAUCGUUGGAACCCUAGCCACCGUAAUUGUUGUGUGCUCUUGGAGGUUGCAAAGAAAAGGACCUCUGGACUCAGUUAUAUUUGGCAGAUUUUCAAAGCCGAGGAUAUGUUUUCUAGUAGUGUUCUAAUCAGAAUGCUUCGUAGUAGCUGUCAGGAUAUGGCUGAUUGUGUUUGGUUCUUGUAGGAAAGGACAUUGGGGAAAUUGAUGAUGGCCCUAUAGAAAAAGGAAUAAACUUACAACAAUCGAAGUUGUUGGGGAAAUGAAUGAUUCUCUGCCAAUUUCAGUUGUAUCGUCUCUCCGAUACUCCGACUGUAACUUUAUUUCAUUUUGUUUAUGCAUUCUUUGUUUUAUUUUUCUGGAGAUUUUUCUUUGGCUAAUGCUCGGAAAAAUUAGUAAUUAAUCUAAUUCAUUUUCUAGUUCAAAAUGAACAUACUAUACAAGACUAACCUAAUUAUAUAAUAAAUCGUAGCAAAAUUUACUGCAUAAACAUAAAUCAAAUGUUUAGAACAGUAACCUACAUUACAAAGAUAUAAAACUGAUUUGAGUGCCACAUAGUUUGUGGGUGGUGUUAUUCAUUUGGUGGUAUGGACAAUUGUAUUAAAUUGGACAAGAGUAAUAUAAUUGGUGUGUUGUAGAACUAGGGAAUUUGAUUAUUUGUUUUUGUAAUAUUUUAGGAGCUGGAUUUCUAUGACAUAUGGCUUGUGUCGUUCUAGGUUUGCGAAGAAAAAUUGACUACAAUGAAACAGGAGUUAGAAGCAUUGAACAAAAAGAUAACUUACAAGAACUUUUCAAUCCUGCUGCAAGAUGAAGGUUGAACCAAGCGCCGGUAGGACAAUAGCUUUGGUAAAUGAGCACUUAGAAUAGAGGGCCUCUUGCAGGUUUAUUCAUUUGGAUAUGUAGGUGGAUAUUCUUGGCUUGUGAACUUUUUCCCAAAGUAGGGGCUUAAGAGCAUGUUGCUAUUUAUAUUUUUUCUUUAGUUGCUAUUUUGUUUCAGUAUCUGUGUUAUGUUGGCGGAACUAAAAGUGGAUUAAGAGCCUUCUAGUGAAUUAUUGACAAAAGUUGUUGAAGAACUAUUUGAAGAAUUCCGAAGCACUAGACUUGACAUCUCACAACCAUAUUUCAAGAAAGCUCACAGAUGGAAAGCAGGAUCCGGAGGAUUUAUCGGUGCCCUUUCAUUGAUCAUAUAUAUACUCCCUUAUGCCGGUGCCCCUCCUCAAAUAUGUUUUUAUAUUGUGUGCAGAGCAAAUGACUAUGGGCAAGCAAUUUGCAUCAUGUUGGGGAUGUACUUAAACAAUGCUCAGAAAUUCAGAUUGAGACUUUAUUCAUUGAUGAAAUGCUUAACGAUUGACCAAGACAUAUAGCAGUGUAUUUGUUAUGGGAUAACCUUAGAACUGUCGAGGAUCUGACCACAUACAGCCGUAGCACAUUCCAUGAGCAUUCAUUUGCUGCUAAAACCAAGAGUUGGCUGGAGGCCUAUGCAUUCAGAAGGAAUGCUUUUCUUGUACUUGCGGGGACAUCCAUGGUAAUCGGUGAUGGCAUUCUCAAUCCUGCUAUAUCUGUUCUUUCUGGCUCUGGAGGGAUAAAUGUGAAGCUGCAACCUCAUAUGUGCAAUGGUAUGAUUCUCAACAAACUAAAGUGUCGCCUGUAAUUAUUAGCACUCUUUUGUUCCUACUAUUUUUUUUUUUUUUUGUCUGCAUUAGCCGUGUGUAUCUUCAUACAAAUUUGGGCAAUGUGCACUUUGAUGCAGAUAUGGUUGUGCUUGUUGUUGUAGUCAUAUUAGUUGGAUUGUUCAGCAUGCAACACUAUGAUACAAAUAGAACUGGUAAAAACUGAUCCGAUACGAUAACCCGGCACGAAAUAAUUGGGUUUGGGUCAAUUUUGACCGGAUUAUGUAUAUGGGUUGAUACGAAUUCGAUACGAUAAUAAAU